AAAACAGAAGUAAAAUUUACACUCGGUUUCGGCCUGAGCUUUAGGCCCUCCUCUGUUUUU
rnacentral:tRNA from 1 species